UACGUAGGGCGCAAGCGUUAUCCGGAAUUAUUGGGCGUAAAGAGCUCGUAGGCGGUUUGUCGCGUCUGCCGUGAAAGUCCGGGGCUCAACUCCGGAUCUGCGGUGGGUACGGGCAGACUAGAGUGAUGUAGGGGAGACUGGAAUUCCUGGUGUAGCGGUGAAAUGCGCAGAUAUCAGGAGGAACACCGAUGGCGAAGGCAGGUCUCUAGGCCGAUACUGACGCUGAGGAGCGAAAGCG
rnacentral:rRNA from 1 species